UCGCACUCUGCUGCUGCCGCGUCUCGCCAAGCCGCCGCUGGAGGAGGAAGGCCCGCCAGUUUUGUUUCUGCUUAUGGGUUUUGGAAUCUGAGAAAACGCCACUGCCGUUGUUGUUUGUUGGGUUCAAGAUCAUUGCUGCCACUGGAAUCACGAACCGGAAAGGAGAGGAGGCCGUUUUCUGUUGUCGCUGGUGCUGCCAUAGGACGGUUGAAGCCAUUGCUGAUUAUGAUUUUGUUAUCUGGUCCUUGCUUUGUCUUGAAUCCUAGGGCUGAAAAUUGCUUUUGAUUCCUACUCAAUUUAAAUCCUCUAUUUUACUGCAACCAUGGUCAAAGUUGCGAAGGCUGGUAUUGUUGCCGUUCUGGUUGUGUGACAGUUACCGCUACUGCCCUGACACUAAAAGAGAAGGUAUUUGUUACGUUAAAGUAUGCGAUUGCGACAUCGAGUUGCUCAAUGUUCCAAAUCCUGCUGUUCUUGACAUUCCUGUUUGUGCAUUGGGGGGUGGAUAUUGGAAUUAUAUAUUAUUAUACAGAUUGCCUAAAGACUAGGAAUCUUCAUCUCUUAGAAAAAUAUUGGCCGUGAACUUCAACUUCCUGCACAUGGUAAAAGAAAUUCAAAAAAUAUAGUCAUAUGAAUAAGCAUACAAAUUAGAAGUUUUUAACAAUUAUUUGAAUGGUUUCUACUCAUUGCAAUAUUGUGCAGUUAGUUGGAGAUGAUUUCUUGAUGUUUAAUGCAAAACGCAUUGAGAGAGUAGUACUAGAGUAUGCAUGUAACCCUCUUUUUCUUAAGGUAAGUGAUUUAAAUGGACUUUGAUGGGGUUCCUUUGUUUAGUUCAAAA